rnacentral:rRNA from 1 species
GACGAACGCUGGCGGCGUGCUUAACACAUGCAAGUCGUACGGUAAGGCCCUUUCGGGGGUACACGAGUGGCGAACGGGUGAGUAACACGUGAGUAACCUGCCCACAACUUUGGGAUAACGCUAGGAAACUGGUGCUAAUACUGGAUAUGUGCUCCUGCUGCAUGGUGGGGGUUGGAAAGCUCCGGCGGUUGUGGAUGGACUCGCGGCCUAUCAGCUUGUUGGUGGGGUAGUGGCCUACCAAGGCGGCGACGGGUAGCCGGCCUGAGGGGGUGACCGGCCACAUUGGGACUGAGAUACGGCCCAGACUCCGACGGGAGGCAGCAGUGGGGAAGAUUGCACAAUGGGCGCAAGCCUGAUGCAGCAACGCCGCGGGCGGGAUGACGGCCUUCGGGUUGUAAACCGCUUUCAGCAGGGACGAAGCUUUUUGUGACGGUACCUGCAGAAGAAGCACCGGCUAACUACGUG